UUUUAUUUUUAUUUAUGGCUACAGUCAUCACACUUUUCAUCAUCCAGGGGAACAACAACAAAACCAUUUGAAUAUGCAGUUUGGAUAAACUUGGGGGUUGAGAUCCCAAAUGAGAAUGGAAAUACUUCUUUUAUGUAAGGACAGAAGUGAGGGAGGAAAAGGCAGAGAAAAAUAAGAUAGUGCACCUAUCUGGGGACUCUGUGUCACUUUGGACCAUCGCUCACAGGAGACCUCACAGGUGGACUUUGAUUGUCUUGGAAUGUUUGUAAAGAUGAAUCUAGGAGCAAUCUGUUUCUAAUUUCAAGAUGCUGGACAUCCCACUUUCAUGCAGAAUUGAACAGCCCCCACAUGGAUUUUUCCACACAACAUUGUGUAGAUUCUGUCUUUGGAGAGUUCCCCUCCAGUGGAGAGCAAAAAAUCACCUCUUUUAUGUGAAAAGCUCUGCCUGAUGCCAGUUCAUCUACUGAAAGUUUGCUGUAAUUCCCAUCAGGGGUAUAUACAGCAGGUUUGAAUCUACUUAGAUGAUGCCUGAGGUGACAGAAGAACAAGGCAGCAGUUCUGUGCAGUUCAAGGCGCAGAAAUACCAUCAUCAAAAUCCACAACUCUGCAAACACACAAUACCACUCCAAAACUUGGGCUGUUCACUCACUCCCCCUCUCCCUCUCCACCACUCUCUGUAGAGGGACGGAAAGGGGAAUUGGAGGCGUAAAAGGCAAAGAUCACCGGUUCAGUUAAGAACAAUUUUCAGGAAACAGCAAUGAGAGAAGAAAAUGAACAAUAACAGCAACAAUAUUAAUAACAAAAAUGUAUAAGAGAGGUGAUUGAUUCAUAUGCAAAUGUUCACCAUUACCUGACCAUUGUCAUGUUACCUCUACCUGGAGAAGACUUCCUUCCCCCUGCCCCUGGCAAUGACCAUGCUGCCUCCUGGCAAAAAAUUAGCCCUGUUCUGGCCAAAACCAGGACAAGGGCUAAGUUCAUUUCUUGAGUGCAUGUAAAGAAAGUUUUAUAUAUGUAACAUACUAUUAAAAAUAAAAUAAAUAAUUUUAUGUGUUGACUGUUACAUCUAAUAGAUGAAUACUCAGGGUCAGGCAUGGAUAAUUCAUUCAUUAAGAGAGGGGUUAUAAAUUGCAAAUUCUCAGGACAAGAGAAUAAUACCGUAAUGUGAUUCCACCAGCAUAAGGACAUAAAAAAUUUAAAAUCAUGCAGAUAAGAACUAUAGUCAAACUAAAACAAUGUGCAAUACCUCAAGGGACUGUCAUUUGCUUUUCAAUGCAAGCAUAUAAACUGACUCUCAAUCCAGACAAAGUGAAAAUCUCAUAUAACCUAAUAUUCCUUUUCCAUACUCCAAGGAAUAUUAAAUCAAUGCAAAAAUCCUGUAUACAUAUGCUUAUUCAGAAAAAUGUGUAUUUUAUAUAGAAUAUUUUUUGAAAUAACUUCUCUAACCUUUAUUACCAAAUUACCCUUUAUCAAGGAAUACU